rnacentral:rRNA from 1 species
UACGUAGGGUGCGAGCGUUAAUCGGAAUUACUGGGCGUAAAGCGUGCGCAGGCGGUUCGUUGUGUCUGAUGUGAAAGCCCCGGGCUCAACCUGGGAAUGGCAUUGGAAACUGGCGAGCUAGAGUGUGGCAGAGGGGGGUGGAAUUCCGCGUGUAGCAGUGAAAUGCGUAGAGAUGCGGAGGAACACCAGUGGCGAAGGCGGUUGCCUGGAGCUUUGCUGACGCUGAGGCGCGAAAGCGUGGGGAGCGAUCCGG